rnacentral:rRNA from 1 species
CCUACGGGUGACUGCAGUGGGGAAUAGUGCACAAUGGGGGAAACCCUGAUGCAGCGACGCCGCGUGAGUGAAGAAGGAAUUCGUGAUGUAAAGCUCUAUCAGCAGGGAAGAAAAUGACGGUACCUGAGUAAGAAGCCCCGGCUAACUACGUGCCAGCAGCCGCGGUAAUACGUAGGGGGCAAGCGUUAUCCGGAUUUACUGGGUGUAAAGGGAGCGUAGACGGCAGUGCACGUCUGGAGUGAAAGGCGGGGGCUCAACCCCCGGACGGCUCUGGAAACUGUACGGCGGGAGGGCAGGAGAGGUAAGUGGAAUUCCUAGUGUAGCGGUGAAAUGCGUAGAUAUUAGGAGGCACACCAGUGGCGACGGCGUCUUACUGGACUGUACCUGACGUUGCGGCUCGAACGCGUGGGGAGCACACAGGAUUAGCUCCCCCAGUCGUC